rnacentral:rRNA from 1 species
UACGUAGGGUGCGAGCGUUAAUCGGAAUUACUGGGCGUAAAGCGUGCGCAGGCGGUUUUGUAAGCCAGAUGUGAAAUCCCCGGGCUUAACCUGGGAAUGGCAUUUGGGACUGCAAGGCUUGAGUGCGGCAGAGGAGACUGGAAUUCCUGGUGUAGCAGUGAAAUGCGUAGAUAUCAGGAGGACACCGAUGGCGAAGGCAGGUCUCUGGGCUGACACUGACGCUCAUGCACGAAAGCGUGGGGAGCAAACAGG